UUACAUUUCUUGUUAUCCUUUUCCUUUUAGGUUUUGUGAAUGAUUCUGUUGCUAAGUCCAUCGUGGCCUUGCGUUUAACUCUGGUGGUGAAGGCCAGCACCUGUGUGCCUGGGGACAGCCACUCGAAUGACUUAGAGUGUUCAGGAAAAGGAAAAUGUGCCACGAAGCCAUCAGAGGCAACUUUUUCCUGCACCUGUGAGGACCAGUACAUUGGCACAUUCUGUGAAGAAUUUGAUGCUUGCCAGAGGAAACCCUGCCAGAAUGAGGCAAGCUGUAUCGAUGCAAAUGAGAAGCAGGAUGGAAGCAAUUUCACUUGCCACUGCCUUCCUGGUUAUACUGGAGAGCUUUGCCAGUCCAAGAUUGAUUACUGUGUCCUCGAUCCUUGCAGAAAUGGAGCUACAUGUGUAUCCAGUCUCAGUGGGUUCACCUGCCAGUGUCUGGAAGGUAA